GGUUCUCUCUCCUCUGCGGAUCUCUUUCGCACGUCUAUUGCUGUCUACCUGGAACUUGAAGAAACAUUUUGCUAAACUCAUGACAAAUCCAAAGUGGGAUUUUCAGUGAGGUUGGGUUCUUCGUGGUUUCUGGAUGGAAAAUGAGGCUAAAGGUACAGUGACUGUCCCCAGAAGAGGGUCAGAAUGCUGGCCACAGAGAUGACGUUCCCUAGAUUUGGGCCUCACUCAUUCAACAGAGAAGGCCAAGAUACUGGGCUAGCCCUUCUUCUUUUAUGUGUUUUCCAGAUCUGAGCUCUGUGCUCUCCACUGCAUGCAUGUCUAAUGUGGGAAGAAUUCACUAGAUUCUACAGCAUGGGUAGCCAUUGCACCAACCUUCAAUCCCCUGUCUCCACAGUGUCUCUGUAUCCACUGUUAUUGUUCCCGUGGUCUGUGGCCUCCUCAGCAAGAGCCUAGUCUUCACGGUCUUAUUCGUUGUCACACAGAGGUCAUUUGGAUGACAGAUCUUGAAGCUACACAACAAUGACCUUCAGCCAUGUCUUUCUCACAGGAGGAGCUGAGUCCUUGCUCCCUCCCUGGAGAACUCGUUGACUGACUGAGAUAGCUUGGUCACUACUCUCCUCAUUUUAUCUGUCAUCCUAGGGAUGUGCUCUGCACCCUCAGAAGAGAGGAAACACUUCCCAGCACGCUCUGGUUAUUCCCCCUAAAUAAGUAGGUUCGUCUGAAAUAAAGACAGAGCCCAGCGUGUUUCCCUGCCUCCUUGUGUGAGAGUCAUGAAGAUUAUAGGUCACCAUUUAUAUAUCCACCCUUUGUCCUUCCACUGAAUGGUACAAUUCUAGUCAUCUGGGCAGGGCCCCUGCUCAUAAAGCAGCCUGCUCGCCAGCCUCUGGAGCCUUCCCUUCUGGGAGUCAGACACUCAGAUUUCUGCCUUCAUCUGUGGUCCUCUGAACACUCUCAACCAUGGACCAAGAAGACAAGAUCCCACCUUGACAAUAAUGCAACUGGGAGAGAGAAAUCAACUUAAGCUGGAUGCUGUUGCCUGGGAAACGCCUGGAGGAGGAGGUGGCAUCCGCAGGACUGGAUCAGUAUGUGGCAUCCACAUGCUGCCUGUGUUUCAUUAUUGACUCCUCAGUGCAACCCAUGAGGGCUAAGGUGUUUGUGACCAGAGUGAGGCUGCAGGAGCAGCAGGCCAUCACCUCCUGGCAGGAAUGAAAUCCAGAGAGUUCUCUUGAUGAAGGGCUCCAGAGGCAGGAGAUGGAAACCCAGGCUCUUCUGUUAUCUGAGUGCCUUUUUGCCUGGACUGAGACAGGGGCCAGCAUGGCAAGGGUCCCAACCCAAACUGUCCCCCUGUGUGUCUCUACCUCCCUUCUUUCACCUCCCAGUCUCCUCCCAGGUUCCCUAUGGCUUCAGUGCUUUCUCUGGGACACAUUGGCAUUUUCUUGAUUCCACUUCUUUGGGCUCUAAAGACCAAGUGACUCCACGGGUGGGAAAAGGAUGGUACAUUAGUUCAUUCUAUUUCAGCCAUGGCUGGAGCCAACUUCAUCCCAAGGCUCCCAAGAGCAAACACAUCACCACAAAGCUCACAUGAUCUCACCUAGAAGGCUGAGGAAUGGCUGGACCACUCACCUCAGGUCAGGCAAGCAUGUUCCUGUCAGGGAUACUUUCCCUCCUCCUGUGAAGAUCCUAGGUCUUAAAGUGUGCUUCUGGCACAUAAGGACGGUUCACUGAGAACAGGGCUCUCUGUGUAACUCCACCCUGGGGUGGCAUUGAUGAGGCACAGGGUAUUUACAGCCCUACAACAUCUAGUCUGUUGUGAGAGGCCUCAGUGGAAUUCACUUUAUAUUGGUGCUCUGGGUGGGUCUUUGGAGAAUUAAUCCAGAAAAUGAUCACCUCGGUAUGACUGUGUGAUUUGUCUUUUCCUGCCUUAAGAACCAAGUUGUUACUUCCUGGGUUUUUCCACCCAGGACUUCUGAGACUUCUUGUUUAUUAAUAAAUGCCUAGGCUAUACACUUUU